UACGAAGGGGGCUAGCGUUGCUCGGAAUCACUGGGCGUAAAGCGCACGUAGGCGGCUUCUUAAGUCAGGGGUGAAAUCCUGGAGCUCAACUCCAGAACUGCCUUUGAUACUGAGAAGCUUGAGUCCGGGAGAGGUGAGUGGAACUGCGAGUGUAGAGGUGAAAUUCGUAGAUAUUCGCAAGAACACCAGUGGCGAAGGCGGCUCACUGGCCUGGUACUGACGCUGAGGAGCGAAAGCGUGGGGAGCGAACAGG
rnacentral:rRNA from 1 species